rnacentral:tRNA from 1 species
UGAGGAGUAGUUUAAUUAGAAUGUAGGAUUGUCAAUCCUGUGGUGUUGUUUUGUGAACCUCUUUAG